rnacentral:rRNA from 1 species
GACGAACGCUGGCGGCGUGCUUAACACAUGCAAGUCGAGCGGUAAGGCCCUUUCGGGGGUACACGAGCGGCGAACGGGUGAGUAACACGUGGGUGACCUGCCCUCAGCUCUGGGAUAAGCCUGGGAAACCGGGUCUAAUACCGGAUAUGACUCCAUGACGCAUGUUGUGGGGUGGAAAGCCUUGUGCGGCUGAGGAUGGGCCCGCGGCCUAUCAGCUUGUUGGUGGGGUGAUGGCCUACCAAGGCGACGACGGGUAGCCGGCCUGAGAGGGCGACCGGCCACACUGGGACUGAGACACGGCCCAGACUCCUACGGGAGGCAGCAGUGGGGAAUCUUGCGCAAUGGGCGAAGGCCUGACGCAGCGACGCCGCGUGAGGGAUGACGGCCUC